rnacentral:lncRNA from 1 species
CUUGAGGCUAAAACUAUUAAGAAUUACUGCCCUACAUAACUCCAGAUUUUUCAUCAGCUAGUCAUAUUGAGAAUGUUCAUUUUCAUCAUAUCAGAUUGCAGUAAUGUAUUGCCUGCCUUUGAUCCAUUGUACCAGGAAUAUUUUGAUCAAGACUCUUCUAUGCUCUUUGGAUUCAAGGGCAUCUUAAAGAAAAGAAACCACCUGCAGAAGACUGAGGGAGAUUUCUUCGGGAGUUGGAGUUUGUCACUGGGCAAAAUUGUAGUUUAUGCUUUUGCCAAGCUACGAACUGGAACAACACUUUAGAACAGCCAUCUCUAUGUUUAUAUAGUAACUAUAUAAACGGUCCACUGACUCCUCCUUUAUGAGCUGAGCAUUCAGACUUUACAGAGAUAUAUAAGUCAACAUCUCUUGAAAUGAAAAAUCCAACAUGCUGCCUCAUUUUUACCAUUUGGUGUUGUGAUGUUCUUUAAAUGUAAAUCCAGAAAGUCAGUGCUGUUUUAACAUUUUCAUAAGAAUUGCUCCGCUUGUGUCUUUUUGGGAUUACAAGGCCCUUUCAUUCACUCUUUGCAAGACACAUGAUGUCACUUUCCAAACAGGCUGAGCCACAAGCCUUGCCCAAAGAAUUUCCCAAAAAUAUUUUCUGUAACAAGAAAACCAAAGAGAAGAUGAGGACAUGCUAGAAGUAACAGAUGGAUGGUUGUUUUUUCCAAUGGUCCCAACAUAUUAGGGAAAGUUUCAUAGAUGCCUGUCUAUGGAGAGUGAAAUAUUUAUCUUGUAAUGUGAUGCCAAUAUGAUCCUAUUUAGACAGGUCUUGGGACAUUUUGUCCUGGAGUAUUUUCAUAGGUUGGGUUGGGUUAGUUUAUAAAUAGUAGACAUUUUCAGUAAGACAGUUAUCAUGUAAAAGUGCAAAUUAUUUUGGAGCUGUGAUUUCUAUUACAGUCCACUGAACUUUUAUUAUUUAUGCAGUGUCAUACAACUAGGAUUCAGCCCCUGUUAUACAAGGUGCCAUACAAAUAUAGCAGAUGGCUAUAUCUCACCCCAAUUGGUCCAAAGUGCAAAUUUGCAUUUGAUGCAACACAUGCAAUAAACAACAAGAGAGAAGAGAAGAGGGGGGGAGG